rnacentral:rRNA from 1 species
GAAUUCGAUUCAGGCCUAACACAUGCAAGUCGAACGGCAGCACGGGUGCUUGCACCUGGUGGCGAGUGGCGAACGGGUGAGUAAUAUAUCGGAACGUACCUUAUCGUGGGGGAUAACGCAGCGAAAGCUGUGCUAAUACCGCAUAAGCCCUAAGGGGGAAAGCAGGGGACCGUAAGGCCUUGCGCGAUUAGAGCGGCCGAUACCUGAUUAGCUAGUUGGUGAGGUAAAGGCUCACCAAGGCAACGAUCAGUAGCUGGUCUGAGAGGACGAUCAGCCACACUGGGACUGAGACACGGCCCAGACUCCUACGGGAGGCAGCAGUGGGGAAUUUUGGACAAUGGGGGCAACCCUGAUCCAGCAAGGCCGCGUGAGUGAAGAAGGCCUUCGGGUUGUAAAGCUAUGGGUCAGGGAAGAAACAGCAGCUCUAAUACAGAUGCGAAUGAC